rnacentral:lncRNA from 1 species
AUUCCCCCUCCCCCUCCCCCAAACAAGCAUUUCUCUAAUUUUCAGAUCCAAACCUAAAAUUCAAAUAUUCAAAAAUCCAAAAACAAAAAACAAUCAUAAAAAUUCAUCGUUUCAUUACCUUUUCAGCUCAUUUUCAAUUCCUAUUUAAAUUUCUCUAUUUCUGCUCUAAUUUCGAGUUUUUAAAAGCAUUUAUAAGCAUUUGGUAACUGGUUCGAGUGGACUUGGGUGUGCUUGAGUUGAUUUUGGUUACGUCUUACCCUAGUGAAGUUUCAGAAGCAUUUAAGUUCAAUUUCGAAGGCAGUCGGGUGCAUUUCGAGUCAUUGUGGUGUUAUUGAAGUUAUAUGGGUCCAAUUCUUGUUUGGUGUUCUAUCAUCUACUAAGUUCAUGGGAGGCUGCUUUUGGAUUGGGAUUAGCUGUGAUUUUCCCUGUCUACUGCUGAUCUACUGAUCUGGCGAUCUACUCUAUUCUCCUUGUGUUACAUUUUUCCAGGUACACAUUUGAGUUGGCUUUGAUGUAUCCUCUUACUGUUGACAACAUGAAAUAGACGCUGAAACCAAUUCUCUGCUUUGGAUAUGUUAUUUCACUAUGAUUAAAUAAAUUUUGUUGUGAUUUUGUGGUCGAACACUGUAGUCACAUUUAGGCUGCGUGACUGAAUUGAACUGGAGUAUGUAAUAAUAGGACUAAAUUGUUA